rnacentral:rRNA from 1 species
UUUGUAGCCUGCUAUGGUAUAACUUAGUGGCAGACGGGUGAGUAAUGUAUAGGAAUCUACCUAGUAGUACGGAAUAAUUGUUGGAAACGGCAACUAAUACCGUAUACGCCCUACGGGGGAAAAAUUUAUUGCUAUUAGAUGAGCCUAUAUUAGAUUAGCUAGUUGGUGGAGUAAUAGCCUACCAAGGCAAUGAUCUAUAGCUGAUCUGAGAGGAUGAUCAGCCACACUGGAACUGAGAUACGGUCCAGACUCCUACGGGAGGCAGCAGUGGGGAAUAUUGGACAAUGGGCGAAAGCCUGAUCCAGCCAUGCCGCAUGAGUGAAGAAGGCCUUUGGGUUGUAAAGCUCUUUUAGUGAGGAAGAUAAUGACGGUACUCACAGAAGAAGUCCUGGCUAACUCCGUGCCAGCAGCCGCGGUAAUACGGAGAGGGCUAGCGUUAUUCGGAAUUAUUGGGCGUAAAGGGCGCGUAGGCGGAUUAGUANGUUAAAAGUGAAAUCCCAAGGCUCAACCUUGGAAUUGCUUUUAAAACUGCUAAUCUAGAGAUUGAAAGAGGAUAGAGGAAUUCCUAGUGUAGAGGUGAAAUUCGUAAAUAUUAGGAGGAACACCAGUGGCGAAGGCGUCUAUCUGGUUCAAAUCUGACGCUGAGGCGCGAAGGCGUGGGGAGCAAACAGGAUUAGAUACCCUGGUAGUCCACGCUGUAAACGAUGAAUGUUAAAUAUGGGAAGUUUUACUUUCUGUAUUACAGCUAACGCGUUAAACAUUCCGCCUGGGGACUACGGUCGCAAGAUUAAAACUCAAAGGAAUUGACGGGGACCCGCACAAGCGGUGGAGCAUGUGGUUUAAUUCGAUGCAACGCGAAAAACCUUACCACUCCUUGACAUG